rnacentral:rRNA from 1 species
UGCUUGCACUCAGCUGACGACCGGCGCACGGGUGCGUAACGCGUAUGCAAUCUACCUCUUACUGAGGGAUAGCCCAUGGAAACGUGGAUUAAUACCUCAUAGUAUUAUAGACUGGCCUCAGUUUAUGAUUAAAGGUUACGGUAAGAGAUGAGCAUGCGUCCUAUUAGCUAGAUGGUAAGGUAACGGCUUACCAUGGCUACGAUAGGUAGGGGUCCUGAGAGGGAGAUCCCCCACACUGGUACUGAGACACGGACCAGACUCCUACGGGAGGCAGCAGUGAGGAAUAUUGGACAAUGGGCGAGAGCCUGAUCCAGCCAUGCCGCGUGCAGGAAGACGGCCCUAUGGGUUGUAAACUGCUUUUACAGAGGAAGAACCCUCCUUACGUGUAAGGAGCUGACGGUACUCUAUGAAUAAGGAUCGGCUAACUCCGUGCCAGCAGCCGCGGUAAUACGGAGGAUCCAAGCGUUAUCCGGAAUCAUUGGGUUUAAAGGGUCCGUAGGCGGGUCUAUAAGUCAGUGGUGAAAGUCUGCAGCUUAACUGUAGAACUGCCAUUGAUACUGUAGACCUUGAAUUAGUAUGAAGUGGUUAGAAUGUGUAGUGUAGCGGUGAAAUGCAUAGAUAUUACACAGAAUACCGAUUGCGAAGGCAGAUCACUAAUACUAUAUUGACGCUGAUGGACGAAAGCGUAGGUAGCGAACAG